rnacentral:rRNA from 1 species
CCUAAGGCGCAAUGAAAGUGUCAGGGGUGCCUCCUUUAGGAGCGCUCCCCGUCGGGAGGAUGGGCCGCCGCGCCAGCAAUGGUCGGAGCCCCGCACUCCCGGGGCGUCUCGUUCUCAUAGCGAGUGGAGACGCACCAGGAGCGCACACGCUGGUACCCGAAAGAUGGUGAACUAUGCCUGGCCAGGACGAAGCCAGGGGAAACCCUGGUGGAGGUCCGAAGCGAUUCUGACGUGCAAAUCGAUCGUCUGAGCUGGGUAUAGGGGCGAAAGACCAAUCGAACCAUCUAGUAGCUGGUUCCCUCUGAAGUUUCCCUCAGGAUAGCUGGCACUCGGAAAGAGACGAGUCUCAUCCGGUAGAGCGAAUGAUUAGAGGUGAUGGGGUCGAAACGACUUCAACCUAUUCUCAAACUCCCAAUAGAUGAGAGCCCCGGCUUGCUUAAAAGUGAAGCCGGUGGACUCGGAUCAGAGAUGCCAAGUGGGCCAAUUUUGGUAAGCAGAUGGGGG